ensembl:snRNA U6 U6 spliceosomal RNA
GUGCUCGCUUUGGCAGCACAUAUACUAAAAUUGGACCGAUACAGAGAAGAUUAGCAUGGCCCUGUGUAAGGAUGACACGCAAAUUCAUGAAGCGUUCCAUAAUAAU